rnacentral:rRNA from 1 species
UGGGGAAUAUUGGACAAUGGGCGAAAGCCUGAUCCAGCAAUGCCGCGUGAAUGAUGAAGGCCUUAGGGUUGUAAAGUUCUUUUAGUAGGGAAGAUAAUGACGGUACCUACAGAAAAAGCCCCGGCAAACUUCGUGCCAGCAGCCGCGGUAAUACGAAGGGGGCUAGCGUUGUUCGGAAUUACUGGGCGUAAAGAGCGUGUAGGCGGUCUGAUAAGUCGGGAGUGAAAUCCCAGGGCUUAACCCUGGAAUUGCUUUCGAAACUAUUAGACUAGAGAAUGGUAGGGGAUGGCGGAAUUCCUAGUGUAGAGGUGAAAUUCGUAGAUAUUAGGAGGAACACCGGUGGCGAAGGCGGCCAUCUGGGCCAUUUCUGACGCUGAGACGCGAAAGCGUGGGGAGCAAACAGG